CCGCCCGUCACACCAUGGGAGCUGGUAAUGCCCGAAGUCGGUUUUGUCAACUACGGAGACAACUGCCUAAGGCAGGACUGGUGACUGGGGUGAAGUCGUAACAAGGUAUCCCUACGAGAACGUGGGGAUGGAUUACCUCCUUUCUACGGAGUACAGUUGUUACAAAAAGUCACAACACACACAUUUAUAGACUAAUUUAUAAUAAACAAGGCGUCAUGUUCUGAUGAUAUUAGUCCAUCAGGUAUAUCUAGUUUUGAGAGAACUUCUCUCUUUUGUUCUUUGAAAACUGAAUAGUAAAGAAUAUUGAUAUGAACAACGACAUCAAUAAAUAAAAUUAACAAAGAUAAUUUGUCAAUUUGUUUUGAUCAUCGAGAAAUUUAUUACAUUAGUAAUAAUUCAUUGAAAUGUCUUAAAAUACAUCAACAAUAGGAAAAUACAUAACAAUUAAAAUUAAUAUAUUUGAAGUUGUACUUUUAAAUAAGUAAGAGUUUGUGGUGGAUGCCUUGGGUCUGGAAGUCGAAGAAGGACGUGAUUACCUGCGAUAAGCCUCGUGGAGCUGGAUAUACGCUUUGAUACGGGGAUUUCCGAAUGGGGAAACCUAAUUAGGGGAAAGCCUAAUUGCUUUGCAAUGAAUAAAAUAGUUGCACAGACGAGAUACGUUGUGAACUGAAACAUCUUAGUAGCAACAGGAAGAGAAAAUAAAUAAUGAUUCCAUCAGUAGCGGCGAGCGAACGUGGAAGAGCCCAAACCAACACAUGUUGGGGUUGUAGGACAGUCUACAUAAAGUUACAAAACUUUAUCAUAGCAGAAGAAGCUGGGAAGCUUUGGCAUAGAGGGUGAUACCCCCGUAUGCGAAAUGGUAAAGACUUUUGACUGUAUCCUGAGUAGGGCGGGGCACGUGAAACCCUGUCUGAAUCUGCCGGGACCAUCCGGCAAGGCUAAAUACUAACCAGACACCGAUAGUGAACUA
rnacentral:sRNA from 2 species